ensembl:lncRNA
CAAAACACUGCUUUACAUGAAGCAUAUCAGCUGUUUCAAAGUCCCAACCAUUUGUCUUCCUAAAAUACUGGUCCUUCCGUAUAACAAUAACCUCGUAUGUGAUUGGAGGACCCUUAGACUCCUCGUCCAAUCACGUGUGAGGUCAUAGGCAUGACUGAUACAGCAGUACUUGCAAGACGAGCAUACAAACAGACACGUGUGUUACUAUACUCAGAAGAACUGUAUCUCCAGUUCCUUUGUUUGGUUUUUGCUGCUUCGUGAAUAAUGGCUGGACGACGUCUCGCGUUCAACUCGCCUUCAACUCCUCUCCGCGGUCACCAACUUUCGGCCAGUCCGCAGACAGACGAGAAGAAGCUGCUGAUGCUCUCAGUGGAUCGUCUCGUCAACUCCAACAACAAACUGCCGAUAUCAACGAGCGGUUCGCUCCACUGGAGCGUUCGGGAUUCUGCGGGUUUCUGUCCACGGAGGAGAGGAACCGACUCAAAGAAGAGGAGACGGGCGCACGAUCCCAAGAUAGCGGAAGCGGCGCGCCGUCUUCACAACUCCGAGACGAACUACAGGCGCUACGAACCGGAGAAAGGACUAAUCUCGCCUCAUAAUGAGGCGGUGACCUCGUAUUUGCUCCGGGAAAAGUCCAGAUUUAGACGACGUCAUUGUGUUCGCCUGUGAGACGUAUUUUGAGACGGUACGCAGGAGCUUCAGGUUCAGCC